UACGAAGGGGGCUAGCGUUGCUCGGAAUCACUGGGCGUAAAGCGCACGUAGGCGGCUUUUUAAGUCAGGGGUGAAAUCCUGGAGCUCAACUCCAGAACUGCCUUUGAUACUGAGAAGCUUGAGUCCGGGAGAGGUGAGUGGAACUGCGAGUGUAGAGGUGAAAUUCGUAGAUAUUCGCAAGAACACCAGUGGCGAAAGCGGCUUCCUGGACCAGUACCGACGUUCAGGCACGAAAGCGUGGGGAGCAAACAGG
rnacentral:rRNA from 1 species